GUGGGGAAUUUUGGACAAUGGGCGCAAGCCUGAUCCAGCCAUGCCGCGUGCAGGAUGAAGGCCUUCGGGUUGUAAACUGCUUUUGUACGGAACGAAACGGCUCUUUCUAAUAAAGAGGGCUAAUGACGGUACCGUAAGAAUAAGCACCGGCUAACUACGUGCCAGCAGCCGCGGUAAUACGUAGGGUGCGAGCGUUAAUCGGAAUUACUGGGCGUAAAGCGUGCGCAGGCGGUGAUGUAAGACAGAUGUGAAAUCCCCGGGCUCAACCUGGGAACUGCAUUUGUGACUGCAUCGCUGGAGUGCGGCAGAGGGGGAUGGAAUUCCGCGUGUAGCAGUGAAAUGCGUAGAUAUGCGGAGGAACACCGAUGGCGAAGGCAAUCCCCUGGGCCUGCACUGACGCUCAUGCACGAAAGCGUGGGGAGCAAACAGGAUUAGAUACCCUAGUAGUCC
rnacentral:rRNA from 1 species